CAGCCGCCGCGGUAAUACGUAGGGUGCGAGCGUUCAUCGGAUUUACUGGGCGUAAAGCGUGCGCAGGCGGCCCGUUAAGACAGGUGUGAAAUCCCUGGGCUCAACCUAGGAAUUGCGCUUGUGACUGGCGGGCUCGAGUACGGUAGAGGGGGGUGGAAUUCCUGGUGUAGCAGUGAAAUGCGUAGAGAUCAGGAGGAACACCGAUGGCGAAGGCAGCCCCCUGGGCCUGUACUGACGCUCAUGCACGAAAGCGUGGGGAGCAAACAGGAUUAGAUCCCCUGGUAGUCCACGCCCUAAACGAUGGGUACUAGCCGUUUGGUGCGCGAUAGCGCUGAGUGGCGAAGCUAACGCGUGAAGUACCCCGCCUGGGGAGUACGGCCGCAAGGUUGAAACUUAAAGGAAUUGGCGGG
rnacentral:rRNA from 1 species